UUCUGUGAUGAAACUGCUAUAUAGGAAGUGCCGUCUGAUGCGAUAACUGAAGAUGGCAAAGCAAAUCAUUCUGAGA